rnacentral:rRNA from 1 species
AGUGAACGCUGGCGGUAGGCCUAACACAUGCAAGUCGAACGGCAGCACAGUAAGAGCUUGCUCUUACGGGUGGCGAGUGGCGGACGGGUGAGGAAUACAUCGGAACCUACUUUUUCGUGGGGGAUAACGUAGGGAAACUUACGCUAAUACCGCAUACGACCUACGGGUGAAAGCAGGGGAUCUUCGGACCUUGCGCGAUUGAAUGAGCCGAUGUCGGAUUAGCUAGUUGGCGGGGUAAAGGCCCACCAAGGCGGCGGUCCGUAGCUGGUGCGAGAGGAUGAUCAGCCACACUGGAACUGAGACACGACCCAGACACCUACGGGAGGCAGCAGUGGGGAAUAUUGGACAAUGGGCGCAAGCCUGAUCCAGCCGUACCGCGUGGGUGAAGAAGGCCUUCGGGUUGUAAAGCCCUUUUGUUGGGAAAGAAAAGCAGCAGGUUAAUACCCCGCUGUUCUGACGGUACCCAAAGAAUAAGCACCGGCUAACUUCGUG